UGUCUUUGAUGGACAAUAUUUUGAAUCCGUCAUGUCCGUGUCGUUUUCUUUUUACCAGCUGGAGUGAACAACUAGUCGUUUACCCACGGACCUAUAAGCAGAAUCAGAAGAAGAAACGUAAAGUAGAACCCACUACUUCCCAGGAGCCCAGCCCAGCAAAGAUGGCUGCCACUGAGCCCAGUUUCUCAGUCAUGAAAAGUGGUGACCCUCGCCUGUGGCAGGGAGAGUGGCCCAGUGGGGGUCCGGAUGUGGCCCCUGUCUGGACUGUGACAGAUACUGAUCCCCUGGGCCUGGACGAGACCCCUGCAGGUCAUGGUUCCCACUACCUCCCUUCAGCCUCCAGUGACUCCCUGACCUUUGACGGUAGUCUGCGGCUCUCCAACGGCUCCUGUAUCAGUAGCUCUGUGAGUUCCCUGGACUCUGUGGCCAGCAAGGGGACUGACACCAGCAGCGACAGCCAGCGCACAGAGCCUACGCCAUACAGAGACCACCCACCGGCCAACAAGAACAACAUGGCAGAGAGAAGCUGCUACAAUGAGCCAGGGAAGGAUGGGAGGAGUGCUGUGGGAGAGGACCUGGGUCAGGCUGGAUCCAGGAAGGGGAGGAGUGAAGCUCGCAGCAACCAGAGAGAGGUAUCAGUCACACCGUCACAGUGUUUUUACAUUGCAGUCAGUCCUCCCACUCCCGGUAAGGCUUGUCACAUUCCUCCACUAUAACACCAUCACUUGAACCACACCUCAUAAUCCAAAUAGUAACCAUAGCUUUUAAGAAUAGCAACACUUGUUACCCACCAGGAGGGCCCAAGACAAGCAUUGCCCUGAGUGAAUAGUGUUUCCACAUCUACACAUAUAGAUUGGUAUUUUACACACCAUUGAUGGAGUCUGUCAUUGUUAAAGUAAAGUACAUGUGUACACCACACAGCUGUUCCCGCUAGUUCUCCAUAGGACUUGUUUGGACAUGACUCAUAAGACCAGGUUUUGGAGAGGCAAAGAUGUCACGUCAAGCGUUUCGGCUCUGGCCUGAUUGCAUGGUGUGUACGGCUCAUGGACAGGGAUGAAGCGCUACUUACAUUCCACACUGUCAGGUGUGUGUGUGUGCCAUGUGUGUCCACACUGUCAGGUGUGUGUGUGUGUGCCACGUGUGUCCACACUGUCAGGUGUGUGUGUGUGCCACGUGUGUCAAUAUAUGUGUGGUGUUUAGUUCUAUACCGAAAUGCAGGAGUUUGGCAUGGCUAAGUCAAUCCUCCCAUCAGCCGUGUUGAGGCAUGUGUUAGUGUGUGUGAGUAAGACAGGGAGAAGAAGGUGAAUAAUUCAGGACUGUGUUGUGUUCUCUAACUAAACAGGUUUUAAUGCUCUGACGGGGCUCCGUCUGCACUUCAUGUUGUGUGUUGUAAUCUCAGAAUGGCAUUCCUCUUAGACACAUUUUCCAUUUACCUAAACAUGGAUACUAUGUAAUUAGGGAUCUGCCUGUAAGUCUGUAGGGACCUGUUGUAUCUGUAGGGAGCUGUUGUAUCUGUAGGGAGCUGUAGUAUCUGUAGGGACCUGUUGUAUCUGUAGAGUGCUGUGUAUCUUGUAGGGACCUGUUGUAUCUGUCAGGGUGCUGUUGUAUCUGUAGGGAC
ensembl:lncRNA